rnacentral:rRNA from 1 species
GAUCCAAAAAAGGGGUCCCGGUUCCCGGUGCGACUGUCGACCGGUGGCGGACUGUCCUCAGUGCGCCCCGACCGCGUGGUGCCGCCGCAGCCGGGUCCACCCACGUUUUAGGCGCGAGGGGUCUGUG